UUGACCUCGGAUCAGGUAGGAAUACCCGCUGAACUUAAGCAUAUCAAUAAGCGGAGGAAAAGAAACCAACAGGGAUUGCCCUAGUAACGGCGAGUGAAGCGGCAACAGCUCAAAUUUGAAAUCUGGCUCUCGGGCCCGAGUUGUAAUUUGUAGAGGAUACUUUUGAUGCGGUGCCUUCCGAGUUCCCUGGAACGGGACGCCAUAGAGGGUGAGAGCCCCGUCUGGUUGGAUGCCAAAUCUCUGUAAAGUUCCUUCGACGAGUCGAGUAGUUUGGGAAUGCUGCUCUAAAUGGGAGGUAUAUGUCUUCUAAAGCUAAAUACCGGCCAGAGACCGAUAGCGCACAAGUAGAGUGAUCGAAAGAUGAAAAGCACUUUGAAAAGAGAGUUAAAAAGUACGUGAAAUUGUUGAAAGGGAAGCGUUUAUGACCAGACUUGGGCUUGGUUAAUCAUCUGGGGUUCUCCCCAGUGCACUUUUCCAGUCCAGGCCAGCAUCAGUUUUCCCCGGGGGAUAAAGACUUCGGGAAUGUGGCUCUCUUCGGGGAGUGUUAUAGCCCGUUGUGUAAUACCCUGGGGGGGACUGAGGUUCGCGCAUCUGCAAGGAUGC
rnacentral:rRNA from 4 species